AUUGAACGCUGGCGGCAUGCCUUACACAUGCAAGUCGAACGGCAGCACGGGUGCUUGCACCUGGUGGCGAGUGGCGAACGGGUGAGUAAUACAUCGGAACAUGUCCUGUAGUGGGGGAUAGACCGGCGAAAGCCGGAUUAAUACCGCAUACGAUCUACGGAUGAAAGCGGGGGACCUUCGGGCCUCGCGCUAUAGGGUUGGCCGAUGGCUGAUUAGCUAGUUGGUGGGGUAAAGGCCUACCAAGGCGACGAUCAGUAGCUGGUCUGAGAGGACGACCAGCCACACUGGGACUGAGACACGGCCCAGACUCCUACGGGAGGCAGCAGUGGGGAAUUUUGGACAAUGGGCGAAAGCCUGAUCCAGCAAUGCCGCGUGUGUGAAGAAGGCCUUCGGGUUGUAAAGCACUUUUGUCCGGAAAGAAAUCCUUGGCUCUAAUACAGUCGGGGGAUGACGGUACCGGAAGAAUAAGCACCGGCUAACUACGUG
rnacentral:rRNA from 1 species